UGCCCGUGCGUUGCAUCGGGCGAAAAAAUUAAUCAUGCUCCACGUGGCAUUACGCAACACCUUUGAUAUUUAAUUUUGGCUAACGUGAGAAAUAAGGUUAUAUUGAGCAUACAUUUUGGACCAUAAAAUCCAGACAUGAAGAAGCCACCCUAACGACGUUCGUGAGGAUCUAAUUCAGCUCCACACUUUCAUUUGAUGAAAAAGUAGUUGUGCAUGGAAUAGUCUUUCGAUCGAUUAUAUUUUUUCUUGUUCAAAAGUCACAAAAAAAGUUUGAACACAAUCACAUUUUCUUUGAAAAGGUGUACUUUUUGUAUUUUUUCCAGGACAUUUUUUAGAAAUUGUAUCAUAUUUUGUGACGAACAUUUUUUUGAAAAAAUAUAUUUCAUAUUUAUGUUUUUUUGCACUGUUUUUGGGCUUGGCCAAGCAUAAGGACUUGACCGACACACACAUUCUUUUUUUGAUUGAGACACACACAUUCAACGCGUACUCUCUCUUCUCCAUGCGUUCACCUAAAAGAAAAUCUUCUCUCUGUUACUAAGAAAAAGUAAAAAAGAAAAAAGAAAAAGCUCCCUUCCCGUUCCCCAUUCUCCCUCCCCAGUGUUGGAUAACGCCGCCGCCGCCGCCUCCCAUCUUCUCGUCGUUCUCGGAGGACGAGGGCAGGAAGAAUAUCGCCUCCGGUGGCUGCACCGUCGUGCCCUCCAGCCGCGCCGCCGUAUCAACGGGACCUUGCGCGGCUCCCUAUUAUUUCAGCUCCACCCGCGCCACCAUCGACGGCGCGGCUCCUCGCGCGGCUGCAGCGGCGCUCCUGGCCGGUAGAGGAGUGAGAGGCCACUGCUUCCUCAGCAUGGUCCUGCUCGCCGACGACGAAGCCCUCCGAGGAGACGGCUCCACUGCUCCGAGCUCCUCCGACCUACUGCUGCCAGCGCCAUGGAGAGUGUAGAGAUGAUCUGAAAUAAGAGUGACACGGGGCCGGAGGAAGGCAGCAGCGGCGGCGCCGUACGCACAACGUACGCCGUGCGUUCGGACGAGUGACGAAGCCAGCCGUCACGGUUUCCUUUCCGUACCCGACGCUAUGCCACGCCCGCCAGCCGUCGUGCUCCGAGCUCCGGCCGCCUUCCUUCCAGAUCCGGCGCCUGCGCGCCGUUUCCCACCGGAUCCGGCGAGAAUCGACCGGUCCUCACCGACGGCGCCACCGCAAGCCCCUGGCUGCCGCUGGUCUCGUCUGCGUCGUGGGCGACGCAUCGGCCCUUCUUGCUUGCCCGCCUCUCCUUCAAGCCUCUCCAUUUUCUCUUUAGUCUCCGCGCGCGCCCCCCGCCUCCCUGCCGCCGCCUGAUGUGACGCCCGAGUGCAGCGCCGCCGCCCCCCGCAAAAAACGAAAGGUAAGGAUCGCGGGUUGAAUACUCCCAACUCCAGGGUUCUUUUUGUAAAAACGAAACGUUUUCUCAUAUUAGUAACUUAAAAUAGGACUGCGGGUUGAUUUCCUGUAAACGGAGGGGCCUUUUUGUAAAAUUGCCACGACGUACGGGCAAAAGC